rnacentral:rRNA from 1 species
GCUUGAUAAGUCAGAUGUGAAAUCCCCGGGCUUAACCUGGGAACUGCAUCUGAUACUGUUAAGCUAGAGUAGGUGAGAGGGAAGUAGAAUUCCAGGUGUAGCGGUGAAAUGCGUAGAGAUCUGGAGGAAUACCGAUGGCGAAGGCAGCUUCCUGGCAUCAUACUGACACUGAGGCUCGAAAGCGUGGGUAGCAAACAGGAUUAGAUACCCUGGUAGUCCACGCCGUAAACGAUGUCUACUAGUCGUUGGGUCCCUUGAGGACUUAGUGACGCAGCUAACGCAAUAAGUAGACCGCCUGGGGAGUACGGCCGCAAGGUUAAAACUCAAAUGAAUUGACGGGGGCCCGCACAAGCGGUGGAGCAUGUGGUUUAAUUCGAUGCAACGCGAAGAACCUUACCUGGUCUUGACAUACACAGAAUCUCGUAGAGAUACGAGAGUGCCUUCGGGAAUUGUGAUACAGGUGCUGCAUGGCUGUCGUCAGCUCGUGUCGUGAGAUGUUGGGUUAAGUCCCGCAACGAGCGCAACCCUUGUCCUUAGUUACCAGCGGGUUAAGCCGGGAACUCUAAGGAUACUGCCAGUGACAAACUGGAGGAAGGCGGGGACGACGUCAAGUCAUCAUGGCCCUUACGACCAGGGCUACACACGUGCUACAAUGGUAGGUACAGAGGGCAGCUACACAGCGAUGUGAUGCGAAUCUCAAAAAGCCUAUCGUAGUCCAGAUUGGAGUCUGCAACUCGACUCCAUGAAGUAGGAAUCGCUAGUAAUCGCGGAUCAGAAUGCCGCGGUGAAUACGUUCCCGGGCCUUGUCCACACCGCCCGUCACACCAUGGGAGUUGAUUGCACCCAGAAGUGGUUAGCCGAA